rnacentral:lncRNA from 1 species
AAAGAUCUGUCAAGAUUAGUAAGCAAAUAUCUCAAUUUAUUCCUCAGAAAUGUAUAGAAAUACAAAAAGAAUAUAUCAUUAAUACCCAACCACCACAACUAUCCCUAGCUAAACAAAUAAUAGGAAAAUAAAAUUCCACACCAAAGGAAAAAAAUCCACACAAUCUCUAAUUCAGUGCCUCAACAGCGCGGCGGCGGAGAGGAGAACCGAAGCGGCGACGGCGGCGCCGGAGACCGACAGCGACAAUGCAUCUCCGGUUUCAGGCGAAGGCGCCGGAGCCUGAGCGGAAGCGGUGGCGGCGAAUGCAGAGACCGCGACGGCGGCGUACGCCAGCAAUGCAGCGGCCUUGUUGAAGCUGAUUUGCGCCAUUGAUGAGCGUUGUAUGGUAGAGAAGAGGCAGAAGAUAGAAGAAGAGGAAGGGAGAGUGAGAAUUGUGUUUGGGGGUUGCACAGAUUUAUAGAGGGAGGCAGAUGCUACAGUGACAGCUGGUGACAGAGAAUGGUAACGCGAAAAUGAUUGUGUGUGUGAAAGAGUGGAGGUGUCGGUGACGGCGUCGUAUCGGUGGCGGACACGUUGCGGCUCGGCUGUAACGUUGUAGGACUAAUCCACGUGCGCGUUUUUUCUUCUUUUUAGGCUGCCAAACUAUCUGUUUUUCCCACUUUCGAUUUAUUUAAUACUCCAGUAGACGUAUGUUUUUAUUUACUACUGCAUAUGUCGGUCACACUGAGGUCUCAAAC